UCCCCUCUCCUCCAGCCCUGACCAGCCAGGAAGCUGAGCCCGGAGGAUGUGGUCUUGGGAAUGUGGAGGCACCAGUCACAUCAGCAUGGCCUGGCUUAGCCUGACUAAUGUGGUAAUUGAGAAAGGAAGUAUGGAUUGAAUAACCCUGAAUGAUGUCUAUCAGAUCCCUCCUCUAUCAGAAAAGGAGACCCAGUGCAGAAAGUAAUACAGUACAAGACCCUCUCUAACAUCCCUCCCUUGGUGGGCGCUGGCGCCAUGCCCCACAGUCAGACACAUUCAUGAUUCUGCAGCGAAUGCAUCAACAUUCACUUGGAGGAGUUUAAGUAGAAAUAAUAAAGGGCUUCUCCAGUUCAGAUCAAGUUUUGCUGCCAGGUAAGAGUUGUUCCAAUAUCAUAACA